rnacentral:lncRNA from 10 species
AGAGACCGGGCUAGUUAGCCCCCAAGAGAGACUCAGGAGACCAGAAGGACCACUGUGACCCUGUGCAGGCUCAGCCGCAGGCCCCUCACCUCCAAAAUGGGGCGGCCAUGAAAGCAGCCUCUGGGUACAGCCCCCGACAGCGUGGCUGCCAUGACCAUGGAGGCCAGGGGCAGCAGCUGGGUGUACAGCAUCUGUCUGUUGGCUUCAAGCAUGAAGCAGAGCAGAGGGUGGGGAUCCAGUAGGGCAUAGUGAUUUGAAGCAGUGGUGGGGAUACCCUCGCCCAUGUCUGUCUCCCUCCCCCAACCAGGUGGAGAACUCCGCAGGUACGAACGAGGAACGAGGUUACAGAGGCCUUCUUAGGCUUUGUGAUGCAUAGCUCAAGAUUUGGGAAAAGGUAAACAACCUCUGAGCAGAAUAAAAACAACAUUCUAGGGGCUGGGCACAGUGGGUCAUGCCUGUGAGUCACGUUGUGGGUCAAUCCCAACACUUUGGGAGGCCAAGGUGAGUGGAUAAUCUGAGGUCAGGAGUUCGAGACUGGUCUGACCCAUAUGGUGAAACCUUGCCUUUACGAGAAAUACAAAAAUUAGCCAGGCGUGGUGGCAUGAGUGCCUAUAGUCCCAGCUACUGGGAAGGCUGAGACAGAAUUGCUUGAACCUGGGAGGCGGAGGUUGCAGCGAGCCGAGAUGGCACCACUGCACUCCAGCCUGGGUGACACAGCAAGACUCCCUCUCAAAAAAAAGAAAAAAAAAGACAACAUUCUGCUCCUACACAGAAACAGGGCUCAUGGAAUAGGAAUGAUUUUUCUUUGUUUUUGUUUUUGGAGAUGGAGUCUCACUCUGUCACCCAGGCUGGAGUGCAGUGGUGCCCUCUCUACUCAGUGCAACCUCCCCCUCCCAGGUCCAAGCAAUUCUCCUGCCUCAGCCUCCCGAGUAGCUGGGACUACAGGCACAUGCCGCCACGCCCAGCUAAUUUUUUGUAUUUUUAGUAGAGAUGGAGUUUCACCUUGUUGCCCAGGCUGGUCUCAAACUCCUGAGCUCAGGCAAUCCGCCUGCCUCGACCUCCCAAAGUGCUAGGAUUACAGGUGUGAGCAACCACGUCCGGCCAAGGGAUAGGAACCUUUACUGCACAACCAGUGGAGCCUGUGGACAAGAAAGCAGUACCUGCAGGGAGGCUGUGUCAGAUUGUGAGAGUGGAUGUGGGAGCAGCAAACUGCAGCCCAGGGCAUCGCCUGAAUCUCCUCCCCACCCCACCCAUCACGUCCAGACUCCCAGCUCCCUCCCUUUCCAUCUGACCCACAGCAGAAUC